CGGAUAAUCGUCUUAUGUCCUCUAUUCCUCCUAAUCAGUACUCUAAGACGAUACAAUGUGUAUUAAAUGCAAAACAUGUAGUGGAUUGGAUUCAAAAAAUUGUAGUGGGUGUUGAACACUUGGUGUUGGAAGAAAGUCUGGCAAAGCAAAUAAUUGAUUUGUUGGCUAGAGAAAGUUUCCAGCAUGUGAAGAGGUUAGAAAUCAACAGCUGUCAUGAAGUUAUAUAUAUUGCAAAUACAUCGGGUUUGAUCAAUCUCAGGAAAACUCCAGGCCGAUAUGAUUGUUUUGCUAACCUUGAAUACAAUAAAAUUCGUAGUUGUACGGAUAUUGUUUAUUUCCUCUCGAUGCCAUCAGUGCCGGAGGCUUUGCCACUUCUUACAAUUCUAGAAAUGUGGGGCUGUAAGAAGUUGGAACAAGUGUUCCUCCUAGGGGAAGAAAAUCUGGGUGGUGGACGUGGAAUCCAGAUUGAUAAGGUCAAGUUCCCCAGAUUGGAGAAAAUAGAGCUUUACAAUUUAGAAGCACUAAAUUGUUUCUGCAAUGAGAUUCACGGCAUCCAGCUCCCUAGCUUACAUACCCUGACUAUCAGCAAAUUACCUAACAUCAGAGGAUUCUUUCCCAAUGAUGACAGCCUUUCAACAGAACCCAACCAUAGUGCGAACAAGCAAUCCCUUUUCAGAAAAGAGGACACAUUGAGAAGUUUAAGGCAUCUGGAACUCUACGAUUUGGAUGACGCAAUGCUCUUUCACAACCAAUUACUUUCCCGAUGCUGCUUCAGAAAACUUGACUCUUUAAGUAUGUCGAAAUGCAAGAAUGUGGCUCCUUGUUUGUUUAUGGAUGUUGUGAAUGAUGAUGCUCCAAGUGCAAAGGAUGAAGAAGAACAAGGAGAAAAGGUUUCUGAAACCUCCCUAUUUCCUCAUUUGACAAGUCUAAUUCUCUCAGACCUGCCAGAUUUAAGGUCUGUUGUUUCACAAAAUAUGCAAAAGGUUCCAUUUGGUUAUAACUUGAAAGCAGUAUAUGUAGGCUUCUGCAAGAGACUACUUCAUUUCUCUUCACUAGCUGUGGCCAGGACUUUUGCACAGCAAGUUGAAAAUAUGUCAUUUGUUGUUUGUAAUGAGAUGAAACACGUAUUUGUUUUAGAGGAGAAUGAGGUGGAAGGAGCUGAUCAAAGUCAGAUCUGUGACAUCCAGUUUCCGAUGUUGCGGAAGUUGAAACUUAGCUAUUUACCGGCAAUGGUAAGUUUUUGCAAGGGGGCUAACAACAUUGACUUCCCAAAUUUGAAUGAAAUAUACAUUAGUGCCUCGAACAACUUAAAAGGUUUUGUGAUUCCCACAGAUGGAGAUCAAUCCAGUGACAUGCAUUACCUAUUUGGAAGUAAGGUUUCAUUUGGAGGGUUGGAGAGUAUGGUACUCCUGAAUUUAGAGAGUAAGUUAUGGUACCACCAACUUUCAAACACACAAUACUUCAGUGAACUACAAAAUUUAUUUAUUCAAGGCUGCCACGAGAUCAAAUACGUGUUUUCUUCUUUUUCAAUCGGGGCCUUGGUGAAUUUGAAGAAGCUAAAGAUACGUUGUUGCUUCAGUAUUGAAGCCGUAAUUGUAGAAGAUGAAGGAGGAGAAGGAAUGAGCAUGAAACAUCUCUUUCCUAAAUUGGAAGUUUUAGAACUACAAGAGUUACCAAAGUUGGGAAGCUUUAGCCAAAGAAAACAUGAUCUACAAUUGCUCUCACUGAAAACUGUGACGAUCAACUAUUGUAGUGAAAUGCAGAUAUUUGCUCAAGGAUACAUAAGCACACCAAGAUUAGAUGAACUUCAAAUAGAUGAUAAAUCCUUUCCCGUGAAUGACAUAAAUAACUCCAUAUGCCAAGGAUUUGAGGAACAGCGUGCAAAGAAAAUGAAAGAAGUAGCAGAACAAAUAGCAAAGGAAGAAGAGGAGUUGCAAGAAUUUGAUGAAGAACAUACAACUGAAGGAGAGGAGGACGAGGAAGACUGAUCAUGGUAAGGUCAAGAAUCCAAAAGUGCGGAGGAGGAAUACCUACAAGUAUAUAUUUCAUCAUCCGACGAAAUGUCAUAGUUGAUCCAACUGGAGUUGAAGCGAGUAAUAACUCUACGAUAGAAAAUUCUGACCAAAUCACCAUGAGUUUUGUACACUUGUCAUUAUCUUGAAAUGAAUUGAUGUUCCAAUCAAGUUUGGCCUUGCAUAUGAGUAAGCUUUGUAAAGAAUGUAGGGACAAACUUUUAUAUGAAUGGAUGGUACGUGUUUGAAGAAAUGCCAAUGAAUGUUUUAUCCAUACAUGAUGGAUUUCGAACUUAA